rnacentral:tRNA from 1 species
GGGUGGGUUAGCGCAGUGGUUAGUGCUUAAGACUUGUGAUCGCGAGGUCCCAGGUUCGAAUCUCGCCAGAGGCA